AACGAACGCUGGCGGCAGGCUUAACACAUGCAAGUCGAGCGCCCCGCAAGGGGAGCGGCAGACGGGUGAGUAACGCGUGGGAAUCUACCCAUCUCUACGGAAUAACGCAUGGAAACGUGUGCUAAUACCGUAUACGUCCUUCGGGAGAAAGAUUUAUCGGAGAUGGAUGGGCCCGCGUUGGAUUAGCUAGUCGGUGGGAUAAAGGCCUACCAAGGCGACGAUCCAUAGCUGGUCUGAGAGGAUGAUCAGCGACACUGGGAGGGAGACACGGCCCAGAAUCCUGGGGGGGGAAGGAGUGGGGAAGAUUGGAAAAUGGGAGGAAGCCUGAUCCAGCCAUGCCGCGUGAGUGAUGAAGGCCCUAGGGUUGUAAAGCUCUUUCACCGGUGAAGAUAAUGACGGUAACCGGAGAAGAAGCCCCGGCUAACUUCGUGCCAGCCGCCGCAGUAACAC
rnacentral:rRNA from 1 species